rnacentral:rRNA from 1 species
UACGUAGGGCGCAAGCGUUGUCCGGAAUUAUUGGGCGUAAAGAGCUCGUAGGCGGCUUGUCGCGUCGGAUGUGAAAGCCCGGGGCUUAACCCCGGGUCUGCAUUCGAUACGGGCAGGCCGGAGUGUGGUAGGGGAGAUCGGAAUUCCUGGUGUAGCGGUGAAAUGCGCAGAUAUCAGGAGGAACACCGGUGGCGAAGGCGGAUCUCUGGGCCAUUACUGACGCUGAGGAGCGAAAGCGUGGGGAGCGAACAGG